CUCCAUUCAACAGAAGCAUCAAAGGCCAAAAGUAUUCUAUGAACACUUGGGCUUCAAAUCAGAAUCCAGGUCCAGAAACAGAUCAGCAACUUGGAGGCUCGACAUAAUCCUGAAGGCAUCUGGUCCCACCCAAGAGGCCAAACACAAGAGUGUUUUCCAUCUUUCUUCAGCUGCAUGCUCAAAUCCGGCUGACGGGGUUAGGCUGGAGCUCAGGUUCGCUGUCAGGCCCCCCUUCCAGAGCGUGGCGUGACUGGUCGUCAUUCUCCCAUCAGACCGGCUGCAGUUUUUAUCUGGGCUGCAGGCGUGUGAUGUGGUCGGGAUGCUGGGGUGGAACAGAGCUGCAGUUGGACAGCUUGUGACCAAUGAAAACAACAGCGUCCAAACAGAGGAGCUACAAUCUUCAGGGAACCUCAAGAUGGAAAUCUAAAGAAAGUUUCAUCUGGAAGGAGAAAUCGUAAAAGAGGAUCUAUUAGGACGUUGAAGUUUACUUGUGAGAAGUCUUGCUAUUAUGUUAAACGUGAACAUCUAACAUGGAGGAUCUUCAGCACCUCUGAUGUCAUACAUACUAGAACGAUGAUGGACUAAAUGAGAUACAGGAAGGUGUAUCCCAGCAUCUCAAAUGCAUUAGUUUUUACUGUUUUAUUUGUAAGCAGUUUUACCUCAAAUGUUUAAGAAAUAUCUUUGUUUGUGAGGAAUCCCAGAACUUUUAAAAAGUUUGGCCAGUUUUAACGGUAAGGCGUGAGCAGAGAUUCUGUGGUGCAAUUUGAGCGUGAGGCGCGGCAGUCUGUGCUGUGCUAGUUUAAAUAUCUGAACUUUGGCAAAGAGUUUGGAUCAUGUCAACUUAUCAGGAACUCACCCUUGGACCGUGAUGUGCUGAUGACAUGAUCAGCAGAUAGAAUCCAAAACAAACUGAGUAGAAUCUGAUUGUUCUCCCCCUAAACUUAUAGUAAUUUCUUAUUUGAAUUGAGACAUUAAUAAAAACAUCUUUUGAUUGUAUUCCUAUUUU